rnacentral:rRNA from 1 species
UACGAAUGGGGCAAGCGUUGUUCGGAAUCACUGGGCGUAAAGCGUGCGUAGGCGGUUUUGCAAGUCAGAAGUGAAAGCCCAGGGCUCAACCCUGGAAUUGCUUUUGAAACUGCAUUACUUGAAUCCCGGAGAGGUUAGUAGAAUUCCGAGUGUAGAGGUGAAAUUCGCAGAUAUUCGGAGGAAUACCAGUGGCGUAGGCGGCUAACUGGACGGGCAUUGACGCUGAGGUACGAAAGCGUGGGGAUCAAACAGG